rnacentral:lncRNA from 1 species
GCUAGUUGUAGGAAAGCAUGUAACCUGCCCCAGCACCUGAGCCAGUGGCCCCAAGAGCAGUGGGUUUAAUUGGCUCCAUCCACCACCCAAUGUUGACCCCACCCCUGAUUUCUCUCUGACUGGCUUUCAACUCCCAUGAGAAUAGACACAGGUUUACCUAGUAAGUCCAACCUAUGUCCUAGUCAAGGUGGUGUUUGGGUCAGUGUGACAAAUUCACCCUAUAUAGCAUCUUACUCAUUGUUAAGUGUGACUUUCUGAAAAGACCUCCCCAAUGGAGCACCCCCUAAAAACCCUCAUGUCAAUGUCACAGCUGUAUCCACAACAUCCCUCCCUCUCAGCGGGGUCUUCUGGGCCAAGCAGGACUGCAGAGCUCUGAAGAGGAUCUGCCCAAUGUCUUCUUGGCUGGGGACACUACAAAAUGGUUUGGAAGCACCUGUGGUCCCUUCAGGUACCUUCCACUGACUCGGCCUUACGCAGACCAAGCCCAGGGCCGACCACAGUCUCUCAGAGAGCAGCAGGCUGUGUGGAGGUCAAGGUCAUGACCUUGACCUGCGUAGGAGAGGCUUCCCACACCUGAGCUUCCAGGUGAAGGCUCCUUUCUCAACACCCACCCCUUCCACGCAGCCACCUCCUUCCAGUCCUCAGUGCAGCCCUCCUCCUCCUCUUCACAGUAGAAAUCCCACCCCUCUACACCGAAGGUUGCUCUCCUGCAUCCUUCAAACUCUAUUGCCUCUGCCUUCAGCAAGAUGCCCUCUCAUUGGCUCUCAAGCAGGUGGGAAGAUUUGGGAAGGGGGUGUCCCUGGGGGCAGCACAGUGCCUGGGGCCCAGGGAUGCCAAACACCCAGCAGUGGUCAGAAGAGUCCUGAUUACCCGAGAUACAAAUAGUCUCAGUGAGGACCAUUCAGGGGCUGAGAGUGUGAGCAGAGACAAGCCUAGGCCCAGGUUGGUCCCACCCUGAGGCACAGCCAGGGUGCUCACUGCUUUGUCCAACAUGAGCACUAACUGAACAUUAAUUUUCCUUAGAGAAAUGUAAUCUGUUUCCUCUGAAUAAAGCUUAUUCCUCC